GUGUCUGUAGCCUAGUGGUCAAAGGAAGCACUCUAGAUGCUGAGGUUGUGGGUUUGAGUCCCACCAGACACA
rnacentral:tRNA from 1 species